ACCCAGGUUUCCAAUGUGUUCAGCCAUGGCCUCGUAGCUACAACUGAUCUGAAACGCUCCAGAGACGACGGAAAGAUCCAAGGAAACCAAACCAGCGGCAACGAAGCUCAAAACGAACCGAUCUCCGCUUCCCACAAUUCCUCGUUAAUUAUCCAAAUUGAGGCCAAAUGAAGCUUGAACCCUAGGCUACGGAAUGACGAAUUUAGACGGAAGCGAAAACAAAAACGACGUCCCUCAUGUUAGGCCCCCGAUCAAUCGCACCAACGACUACACGAUCGUGAUGAAAACAAGGCGAAAUAGUGAGGAAUUCCUACCCACGGAAUGGAGAAAUAUUCCGGAAUUUGUUGGAAUCAAAAACGACAAUGUUGAUCAAGAAUGUCGAAGCUUCUUCAGGUUCUGUUUAUGAGAGAGUUGGAAGCAUGUUCCGGUUCAGCAUUGAGGUGGGAAGUUGUUAUGGAUUACGAUGUUGCUUUGAUGUAAGGACUACUGGCUUUCUUCUACAUGCAAUGUGAUGUUGGAUAUGCUAUGGGUUGCUUCUGAUGAUGGUUAGCUUUACCAUUGCUUGACUAAUUAUUGUGGCUUGGUUGGCUUAUUAAGUUCUGGUUUUUUGCAGGGUUUGAAAGUUAGUCGUGAAGGAGGUUAGAAAAUCCUCAGUUUUAAAGGUGUUGUAUUGUUAUGUCGGGUCGUUCUGCAGGGCCUUUCGCGAAAGUUAUUGAAGAAUUUCUGUUAAAAAAUCUGAAAAUUCCGGGUCUGAGUUGAAAACGGUUACCGUUCUUUUUCGUUGAUCCGAGGGUUGGAAGGGUUGCUGGUUCUGUUAAGGGAUUCGGUAUUGCAGGUUGGGUCCAGUUCUGUUAAAGCGGUUGGAAUUUUGUUUUUGCUCAGCUCAUUGACAGUUGGAUUCUGUUGAGGUUGGUUAAAGAGUUCUGGUUACGGUUUGGCCAAUGUGAUUGUAAUUUUGUAGUUAUUGAAUGUACUGGUGUAUGUAAUUUUGAAUACAAAUAUUAGUUAGUUAGGUGAUGUACAAAACUUGCUUAUGGAUAGAAUAUGGCUCAUAUUUUUCAAGA